UGGGGAAUAUUGCACAAUGGGCGCAAGCCUGAUGCAGCAACGCCGCGUGAGGGAUGACGGCCUUCGGGUUGUAAACCUCUUUUAGUAGGGAAGAAGCGAAAGUGACGGUACCUGCAGAAAAAGCACCGGCUAACUACGUGCCAGCAGCCGCGGUAAUACGUAGGGUGCGAGCGUUGUCCGGAAUUAUUGGGCGUAAAGAGCUCGUAGGCGGUCUGUCGCGUCUGCUGUGAAAACCCGAGGCUCAACCUCGGGCCUGCAGUGGGUACGGGCAGACUAGAGUGCGGUAGGGGAGAAUGGAAUUCCUGGUGUAGCGGUGGAAUGCGCAGAUAUCAGGAGGAACACCGAUGGCGAAGGCAGUUCUCUGGGCCGUAACUGACGCUGAGGAGCGAAAGCGUGGGGAGCGAACAGGAUUAGAUACCCUGGUAGUCCACGCCGUAAACGUUGGGCGCUAGAUGUGGGGACCAUUCCACGGUUUCCGUGUCGCAGCUAACGCAUUAAGCGCCCGCCUGGGGAGUACGGCCGCAAGGCUAAAACU
rnacentral:rRNA from 1 species